rnacentral:rRNA from 1 species
GGUGAACGCUGGCGGCGUGCCUAAUACAUGCAAGUCGAGCGAACAGACGAGGAGCUUGCUCCUCUGACGUUAGCGGCGGACGGGUGAGUAACACGUGGAUAACCUACCUAUAAGACUGGGAUAACUUCGGGAAACCGGAGCUAAUACCGGAUAAUAUAUUGAACCGCAUGGUUCAAUAGUUAAAGACGGUUUUGCUGUCACUUAUAGAUGGAUCCGCGCCGCAUUAGCUAGUUGGUAAGGUAACGGCUUACCAAGGCAACGAUGCGUAGCCGACCUGAGAGGGUGAUCGGCCACACUGGAACUGAGACACGGUCCAGACUCCUACGGGAGGCAGCAGUAGGGAAUCUUCCGCAAUGGGCGAAAGCUUGACGGAGCAACGCCGCGUGAGUGAUGAAGGUCUUCGGAUCGUAAAACUCUGUUAUUAGGGAAGAACAAAUGUGUAAGUAACUAUGCACGUCUUGACGGUACCUAAUCAGAAAGCCACGGCUAACUACGUG